GCCGUAGCGGAGCCUUCUAGCAGUGUGUGUCCGAGGAUUCGCCGCUGGAGCCGCAGACGGUUUGGUGAGCCCGUUAGUGCCCCUGCCAAGACUCACGCAGCUGACAUGUCCCGCUACUUGCGUCCCCCCAACACGUCUCUAUUCGUAAGGAACGUGGCCGACGAUACCAGGUCUGAAGAUUUACGACGUGAAUUUGGUCGUUAUGGUCCUAUAGUUGAUGUGUAUGUUCCACUUGAUUUCUACACUCGCCGUCCAAGAGGAUUUGCUUAUGUUCAAUUUGAAGAUGUUCGUGAUGCGGAAGAUGCUUUACAUAAUUUGGACAGAAAAUGGAUUUGUGGUCGCCAAAUUGAAAUACAGUUUGCACAGGGGGAUCGGAAAACUCCAAAUCAGAUGAAAGCCAAGGAGGGGAGAAAUGUGUACAGUUCUUCACGCUAUGAUGAUUAUGACAGAUAUAGACGUUCUAGAAGCCGAAGUUAUGAAAGAAGGAGAUCAAGAAGUCGCUCCUUUGAUUACAACUAUAGAAGAUCUUAUAGUCCUAGAAACAGUAGACCGACUGGAAGACCACGGCGUAGCAGAAGCCAUUCCGACAAUGAUAGAUUCAAACACCGAAAUCGAUCUUUUUCAAGAUCUAAAUCCAAUUCAAGAUCACGGUCCAAGUCCCAGCCCAAGAAAGAAAUGAAGGCUAAAUCACGUUCUAGAUUUUCCUGGAUGUAUAGUUUAAACAACAAAAAGUCUAUUUAAAACUGUAGCAGUAGUUUGCAGUUCUAGCAAAGAGGAAAGUUGUGGGGUUAAACUGUAUUUUCUUUCUUAUAGAAGCUUCUAAAAAGACCAAACUGCAGCUGGAAUACCCAGUACAGUUCUGCUUACUACACUUCAAGAAAGAUCUGAGAAAGCGGAAAAAGAACCAAAGAAGGGCAGUUCAAGCGACCAAAGGGUGGGUGGAAGGUGCUGCAGUAUGAAUACUGUGUGAAUAUUUUGACUCUGGUCUGAAAAGAUAAAAGAAUGUUAUUGAAACUACAUGGAAUAAUUGAAGUCCCUUCAAGUUUGAAAGUAAGCAUUUUAGGACAAAUAAAAGGAAAUUCAGCUUUGUACUUGUGGAAACUAAUCCCUAAAUCUGAAUAGGUUUAUAUUGAUUCAUGGAUAACAGGUCCAUAAUAAAUUACUGGAAACUAGGAUGUCUGAAUAUCAAGGAAGACAGCCAUAGUCUCUUAACAGUGCCUCUACUGGUCUGUCAGAAACUGAAUUGGGUGAGAAAAGGCAUGGUCCAAUAUAAACUUUUUCUUGGUUGUCUCUUAAAAUCAGUUACAUUUUUGCUAUUGGCAAAUACUGCCUUUGUUUAUUCCAGUGCCAGUGUUUGACUGCUUAAUGGUUUGCUUGUUGGCAUCUGAGUUUAUUUACCUGUAUGCCAUGUGCAGUUUACAUCCUCCUCACUCUCUCCCAGGUAAAUUCCAAUUAUAAUACUUGACAUCCAGCUAAGAGGUUCCAUCUCUUCUCACCUCUUUCCUAGUCAGUAUAUUCAGCAAACAUUUACUGAGCCCUUACUGUGAGCAAAAAUUGUACUGGGUAAUUGGGAGGAAAAAUAGAUUUUAAAAAUCACUUAUUCAAUAAAUGUCUACUGAGCACAAUCUAGUAAAUAACAUUACAGUAUGGCCUCAUUGUUUUGAGGUGUAUUGUUUGUGACAAUAUUUUACACCAUUCAUAUCCUAAUGUAAUUAUAAAACCCAAUAUACUAUCAAAGAUAAGUAAUUUUGUGGUUACCUGCCAUUUAAAAGUAUCUGGUAUUUAUUUCUGUUUGCAUCCCAUUAAUACAAAUAAUGAAAAGAUGAUGUUUUAAUCUGUAAUAAACUGAUUUAUUGUGCAGUGACUGUAAUAUACUAGAAUUAUAUUAAAUUGUUAACUCUGCCUCCUCAAACACACAUUAGGAAAUAAUCCCCCAAAAGUAUUUAAUUUUGCAUUAGAUAUAAAGGACACUGGGUGCUAUACUUAGAUUAUUUUGAGGCAGACAGAGAGCUGUUAUCCCAACUGAUUUAGUAUGUUCUGUAACUGAGAAAAUGUUCACCAAGUUAUACUUUUUAGUGAUUGACAUGUACAUUUUAUAGGGACAUGUUCUGUGUAUAGUGAAUAAAUAACUUUUAUAGUAUCAAAAUGUUUUGGAUUCCUUAGUUCCUUACUAGGAUAUGAAGCUUAUUUGCCUAUAUAUUGAUUCCAUCACUCAUUUUUUUGUCAUAUUUCUGCCACAUAUUUAAAUUUAACAAAAUUAUUCUUCUGAGAAUAUGGAAGUGUUUGAGCCUUUCAUUUGUAAAGACUUCAAAAAAUAUAGCAGAGUACACAUAACUAAGGGAGGUAUGAAAUAGGGGUCAUUUUUAUCCUUGUUUUAUUAAUUUCAAACUUGGCCAAGAUUACACAGCAAGUGGCAGAUUAACUAGAGUCGAGUCCAUGAAUUUUUCAUUUUAAUUCAUCUUAGUCACUGUUUUGCACUGAACUUUUUUUUAAUCAGAUAGGAAAUUUUUUUAUAACUUAAAAUUAAUAUAAUGGAAUCUGGAGAUCACUAAAAGGGAAGAUUUAAUAGAUGUGUAAGAUAGGUUUAAUUACAAAAAGUAUUCUGUAACUCUUUUGGAUGAAAGAGGUUAAACAUAACUUAAGAUCUCACAGCUGUUGUGACUUACACUCUCUCCAGGCUGGUUUUUCAUAUUACAGUAUUGUAUUGCAUUUUGAUCAUAUUCCCAUUUACAAAAUCCUUUCCCAUGAAAUAAGGGAAGCUGUGACUUGAGACAGAAUGGUAGCUCAGGAAUAAUCUAAUAGUGUUCUACCAGGAAGGUUGUCAAAGCCUUUAGGAGUCCCCAGAAUAAACUUCUCAUUAAUAAAUGAAGUAAAAGCAUCCUAUUUGUCUUCAUUCAACUGUUGGCAUCUACAAGACAAACUGGUUGCUAUGGAAAGGUUCUUUCUCGGGGUUUUUAUCCUCUGCCCCCUCCAAAACUGUUAAUGUUUAGUGCUUUACAUUUAUGUAUCCUAACCUUUGUUUCACCCUUACAUUAA